UACGUAGGGUCCGAGCGUUGUCCGGAAUUAUUGGGCGUAAAGAGCUCGUAGGCGGUCUGUCGCGUCGGCUGUGAAAACUCAGGGCUCAACCCUGAGCCUGCAGUCGAUACGGGCAGACUAGAGUUCGGUAGGGGAGACUGGAAUUCCUGGUGUAGCGGUGAAAUGCGCAGAUAUCAGGAGGAACACCGGUGGCGAAGGCGGGAUCCUGGGCCAGUACUGACGCUGAGGAGCGAAAGCGUGGGGAGCAAACAGG
rnacentral:rRNA from 1 species